rnacentral:rRNA from 1 species
CACGCCGGAAGACCAAGGGUUCCUGCGCAACGCUAAUCGGCGCAGGGUGAGUCGGCCCCUAAGGCGAGACCGAAAGGUGUAGUCGAUGGGAAACGGGUUAAUAUUCCCGUACCUUGGAUAGCUGCGAUGGAGAGACGGAGAAGGCUAGGUGAGCCGGGCGACGGUUGUCCCGGUUUAAGCGAGUAGGGAGUGGACUUAGGCAAAUCCGGGUCCACAAUCUCGAGACGCGACGACGACUGCUCUUAGAGCGGGAAGUCAUUGAUGCCCUGCUUCCAGGAAAAUCUUCUAAGCUUCAGGCUAUUCGAGACCGUACCCCAAACCGACACAGGUGGUCAGGUAGAGAAUACCAAGGCGCUUGAGAGAACUCGGGUAAAGGAACUAGGCAAAAUGGUGCCGUAACUUCGGGAGAAGGCACGCUGGUGGUAAGUGAAAUCCCUGCGGGUGGAGCUGAAGCCAGUCGAAGAUACCAGGCCCCUGCGACUGUUUAUUAAAAACACAGCACUGUGCAAACACGAAAGUGGACGUAUACGGUGUGACGCCUGCCCGGUGCCGGAAGGUUAAUUGAUGGGGUUAGCGCUUGCGCGAAGCUCUUGAUCGAAGCCCCGGUAAACGGCGGCCGUAACUAUAACGGUCCUAAGGUAGCGAAAUUCCUUGUCGGGUAAGUUCCGACCUGCACGAAUGGCGUAACGAUGGGGGCGCUGUCUCUACCCGAGACUCAGUGAAAUUGAAAUCGCCGUGAAGAUGCGGUGUAUCCGCGGCUAGACGGAAAGACCCCGUGAACCUUUACUAUAGCUUCACAGUGAACUUUGAGCAUGUUUGUGUAGGAUAGCUGGGAGGCUUUGAAGUGGGAACGCCAGUUCUCAUGGAGCCAACCUUGAAAUACCAGCCUGACAUGUUUGAGGUUCUAACUUGGUCCCCUUAUCGGGGAUGAGGACACUGUGUGGUGGGUAGUUUGACUGGGGCGGUCUCCUCCCAAAGCGUAACGGAGGAGCACAAAGGUGGGCUAAGCAUGGUCGGACAUCAUGCGGUUAGUGUAAUGGCACAAGCCCGCUUAACUGCGAGACAGACACGUCGAGCAGGUACGAAAGUAGGUCAUAGUGAUCCGGUGGUUCUGUAUGGAAGGGCCAUCGCUCAACGGAUAAAAGGUACUCCGGGGAUAACAGGCUGAUACCGCCCAAGAGUUCAUAUCGACGGCGGUGUUUGGCACCUCGAUGUCGGCUCAUCUCAUCCUGGGGCUGAAGCCGGUCCCAAGGGUAUGGCUGUUCGCCAUUUAAAGAGGUACGCGAGCUGGGUUUAGAACGUCGUGAGACAGUUCGGUCCCUAUCUGCCGUGG